rnacentral:rRNA from 1 species
UACAGAGGUCUCAAGCGUUGUUCGGAUUCAUUGGGCGUAAAGGGUGCGUAGGUGGCGUGGUAAGUCGGGUGUGAAAUUUCGGAGCUUAACUCCGAAACUGCAUUCGAUACUGCCGUGCUUGAGGACUGGAGAGGAGACUGGAAUUUACGGUGUAGCAGUGAAAUGCGUAGAGAUCGUAAGGAAGACCAGUGGCGAAGGCGGGUCUCUGGACAGUUCCUGACACUGAGGUGCGAAAGCGUGGGGAGCAAACAGG